GCCCGCCACGACUCGCCCAUCUCUGCUCCCUGAGAUGUGAGAGACAUUGGCUUCCCUCUCUCACAACCGUGGGCUGUUCCUAUCCCCAUGGCUUCUCUGACACUGCAAACUGUGAGCCAAAAUGGCCACCUGUCCCCUAAGUUUGUUGAUGGCUUAGUCCCUCUGAGCUCUUGAGAGACUGGUUGGUUGAUAUUGUUGUUCUCCCUGCGGGGUU
rnacentral:lncRNA from 1 species